rnacentral:rRNA from 1 species
CCUACGGGAGGCAGCAGUGAGGAAUAUUGGUCAAUGGACGCAAGUCUGAACCAGCCAAGUCGCGUGCAGGAUGACGGCCCUAUGAGUUGUAAACUGCUUUUGUACGAGGGUAAAAGGAUAUACGCGUAUCUGUCUGAAAGUAUCGUACGAAUAAGGAUCGGCUAACUCCGUGCCAGCAGCCGCGGUAAUACGGAGGAUUCAAGCGUUAUCCGGAUUUAUUGGGUUUAAAGGGGUCGUAGGCGGUCCGAUAAGUUAGAGGGGAAAUCAAGGGGCUUAACUUGGGUAUUGCCUCUGAUACUGUUGGGCUAGAGAAUAGUUGAGGUAGGCGGAAUGUAUGGUGUAGCGGUGAAAUGCUUAGAGAUCAUACAGAACACCGAUUGCGAAGGCAGCUUACCAGGCUACUUCUGACGUUGAGGCACGAAAGCGUGGGGAGCGAACAGGAUUAGAUACCCGUGUAGUC